UACGAAGGGGGCUAGCGUUGCUCGGAAUUACUGGGCGUAAAGCGCACGUAGGCGGCUUCUUAAGUCGGUGGUGAAAUCCUGGAGCUCAACUCCAGAACUGCCUUCGAUACUGGGAGCUCGAGUCCGGGAGAGGUGAGUGGAACUGCGAGUGUAGAGGUGAAAUUCGUAGAUAUUCGCAAGAACACCAGUGGCGAAGGCGGCUCACUGGCCCGGUACUGACGCUGAGGUGGCG
rnacentral:rRNA from 1 species